UACGGAGGGAGCUAGCGUUGUUCGGAAUUACUGGGCGUAAAGCGCACGUAGGCGGCUUUGUAAGUUAGAGGUGAAAGCCCGGGGCUCAACUCCGGAAUUGCCUUUAAGACUGCAUCGCUAGAAUUGUGGAGAGGUAAGUGGAAUUCCGAGUGUAGAGGUGAAAUUCGUAGAUAUUCGGAAGAACACCAGUGGCGAAGGCGGCUCACUGGACCGGUAUUGACGCUGAGGAGCGAAAGCCAGGGGAGCAAACGGG
rnacentral:rRNA from 1 species